AAACGUUGAUGUGGAUAUCUUUGUUGUAACUCCCUCAAUUGCUCCUAUGCUUUAUAUAAAGAUUCUUCCUCUUACUGGCAAAAACUAGCUAUAUCCAUUCUUAAUUU